rnacentral:tRNA from 1 species
GCCCGGGUGGCGAAAUGGUUAACCGCGUUGGACUCAAAAUCCAAUGGUCGCAAGGCCUUGAGGGUUCGACUCCCUCCCUGGGCACCA